rnacentral:rRNA from 1 species
CAGUCGAGCGAAGCACCUUGACGGAUUUCUUCGGAUUGAAGCCUUGGUGACUGAGCGGCGGACGGGUGAGUAACGCGUGGGUAACCUGCCUCAUACAGGGGGAUAACAGUUGGAAACGGCUGCUAAUACCGCAUAAGCGCACAGUACCGCAUGGUACGGUGUGAAAAACUCCGGUGGUAUGAGAUGGACCCGCGUCUGAUUAGGUAGUUGGUGGGGUAACGGCCUACCAAGCCGACGAUCAGUAGCCGACCUGAGAGGGUGACCAGCCACAUUGGGACUGAGACACGGCCCAAACUCCUACGGGAGGCAGCAGUGGGGAAUAUUGCACAAUGGGGGAAACCCUGAUGCAGCGACGCCGCGUGAGCGAUGAAGUAUUUCGGUAUGUAAAGCUCUAUCAGCAGGGAAGAAAAUGACGGUACCUGACUAAGAAGCCCCGGCUAACUACGUGCCAGCAGCCGCGGUAAUACGUAGGGGGCAAGCGUUAUCCGGAUUUACUGGGUGUAAAGGGAGCGUAGACGGCAUGGCAAGCCAGAUGUGAAAGCCCGGGGCUCAACCCCGGGACUGCAUUUGGAACUGUCAGGCUAGAGUGUCGGAGAGGAAAGCGGAAUUCCUAGUGUAGCGGUGAAAUGCGUAGAUAUUAGGAGGAACACCAGUGGCGAAGGCGGCUUUCUGGACGAUGACUGACGUUGAGGCUCGAAAGCGUGNGGAGCAAACAGGAUNAGAUACCCUGGUAGUCCACG